rnacentral:rRNA from 1 species
GAUGAACGCUAGCGGCAGGCCUAACACAUGCAAGUCGAGGGGCAGCGCGGUGUAGCAAUACACUGGCGGCGACCGGCGCACGGGUGCGUAACGCGUAUGCAACCUACCCACUCCCGGGGGAUAGCCCGCCGAAAGGCGGAUUAAUACCCCAUGGACCCUUAGCCCCGCAUGGGGCGGAGGGUAAAGCUCCGGCGGGAGUGGAUGGGCAUGCGUGCCAUUAGCUAGCUGGCGGGGUAACGGCCCACCAGGGCUACGAUGGCUAGGGGGUCUGAGAGGAUGAUCCCCCACACUGGUACUGAGACACGGACCAGACUCCUACGGGAGGCAGCAGUGAGGAAUAUUGGUCAAUGGGCGGAAGCCUGAACCAGCCAUGCCGCGUGCAGGACGACGGCCCUACGGAUUGUAAACUGCUUUUCCGGGGGAAGAAUAAGGCCCAUGCGUGGGCCGAUGCCGGUACCCCGGGAAUAAGGAUCGGCUAACUCCGUG